rnacentral:ncRNA from 2 species
UUAAAUUCAAUGCGUAGAAAUAGUAGCUAAAGGUAUAUGGUUUUAGCGAGUCGGAGUUGGUGAAAGUCCGAUAUCAUAGUUUUAGCGAAUGGGUCUACAAGAAGUUUGUCGAAAUGAUUAGAAUCAGAGUAGUCAAUACCGGGGAUUUCCCGUUAUAGGAAUAGGAUAUAUAGCCUUAGGCUAGGUAUCUGUGGAGGGGAGAUUAUCCAAUGGAUAGUCUAAUUAAGGUGGCACCGCGAAAGCAGUCUUUCGUCCUUUUA